UAUAAAGUAAGCUAACUUAAAGCUAGUGGGUUCAUACCCCAAAUAUGAUUUUUCCUUUAUUA
rnacentral:tRNA from 1 species